rnacentral:hammerhead_ribozyme from 1 species
ACUCAGAUGACGAGUCCCAAAUAGAACGAAAAGGAAAUCCUGGAU